rnacentral:rRNA from 1 species
GGGUGAGUAACGCGUAAAGAACUUGCCUCUUGGUCUGGGACAACAGUUGGAAACGACGGCUAAUACCGGAUAUUAUGAGAAUCUCGCAUGAGGGACUUAUGAAAGCUAUAUGCGCUGAGGGAGAGCUUUGCGUUCCAUUAGCUAGUUGGUGAGGUAACGGCUCACCAAGGCGACGAUGGAUAGCCGGCCUGAGAGGGUGAUCGGCCACAAGGGGACUGAGACACGGCCCUUACUCCUACGGGAGGCAGCAGUGGGGAAUAUUGGACAAUGGACCAAAAGUCUGAUCCAGCAAUUCUGUGUGCACGAAGAAGGUCUUCGGAUUGUAAAGUGCUUUCAGUUGGGAAGAAGAAAGUGACGGUACCAACAGAAGAAGCGACGGCUAAAUACGUGCCAGCAGCCGCGGUAAUACGUAUGUCGCAAGCGUUAUCCGGAUUUAUUGGGCGUAAAGCGCGUCUAGGCGGGUUCAUAAGUCUGAUGUGAAAAUGCGGGGCUCAACUCCGUAUUGCGUUGGAAACUGUGAACCUAGAGUAUCAGAGAGGUGGGCGGAACUACAAGUGUAGAGGUGAAAUUCGUAGAUAUUUGUAGGAAUGCCGAUGGAGAAGUCAGCUCACUGGAUGAAUACUGACGCUAAAGCGCGAAAGCGUGGGUAGCAAACAGGAUUAGAUACCCUGGUAGUCCACGCCGUAAACGAUGAUCACUAGGUGUUGGGGGUCGAACCUCAGCGCCCAAGCUAACGCGAUAAGUGAUCCGCCUGGGGAGUACGCACGCAAGUGUGAAACUCAAAGGAAUUGACGGGGACCCGCACAAGCGGUGGAGCAUGUGGUUUAAUUCGACGCAACGCGAGGAACCUUACCAGGUCUUGACAUCCUCU